UGUUUGAUCAGAUGGUCCCUCUGUCUGAAUCUUUUGCAACACUCAGAACAUCUAAAUGGUUUCUGUCCUGUAUGAAUUCUCAUGUGGAUGGUCAGAAUGGCUUUACGCCCAAAACUUUUACCACACUCAGGACAGCCAAAUGGUUUUUCACCUGCAUGAAUUCUCAUGUGUCUGGUCAGACUGCCAUUUUGUCCAAAUCUCUCACCACACUCAGAACAGACAAAUGCUUUCUGUCCUGUAUGAAUUAUCAUGUGUAUAUUCAAAUUGUCCUUUCGUCUAAAUCUUUUCCCACACUCAGAACAAACAAAUGGUUUUUGUCCCGUGUGAAUUAUCAUAUGUUUGUUUAGGUUGCCCUUUUGGCCAAAUCUUUUACCACACUGAGAACAGCCAAAUGAUUUUUGUCCUGUAUGAAUUAUCAUGUGUCUGUUCAGGGUGCUCUUUUGUCCAAAUCU